UCUCUGGUGGCUCAGUGGUAGAACUCUCACUUUCACAUGGGAGGCCCGGGUUUGAUUCCUGGCCAGUGAC
rnacentral:tRNA from 1 species